AACGAACGCUGGCGGCAGGCCUAACACAUGCAAGUCGAGCGAGGACUUCGGUCCUAGCGGCGGACGGGUGAGUAACGCGUGGGAACGUGCCCUUUGCUUCGGAAUAGCCCUGGGAAACUGGGAGUAAUACCGGAUGAGCCCUUUGGGGGAAAGAUUUAUCGGCGAAGGAUCGGCCCGCGUUGGAUUAGGUAGUUGGUGGGGUAAUGGCCUACCAAGCCGACGAUCCAUAGCUGGUUUGAGAGGAUGAUCAGCCACACUGGGACUGAGACACGGCCCAGACUCCUACGGGAGGCAGCAGUGGGGAAUCUUAGACAACGGGGGAAACCCUGAUCUAGCCAUGCCGCGUGAGCGAUGAAGGCCUUAGGGUUGUAAAGCUCUUUCAGCUGGGAAGAUAAUGACGGUACCAGCAGAAGAAGCCCCGGCUAACUCCGUG
rnacentral:rRNA from 1 species